CGUCCCUCUGAAGCUCCUCUGUGUGGGGAACAUGACAGCAGGACCACAGCUCAGAGGACCCAUCAGAGACCAGGACCUGCACCUGAUCCUCAACCUGGUCCGGUGUCUGGACCUGCACCCAGCUGUGUGUCCAUGAAGAGUAACCGGUCUACGGAGCCUCCUCUUGAGUUCAAAGAUGUCCGUCCCCCUGUGGAUGCAAGGUCACAUCAGCAGAGAGGAAAGUCUCCUGAACCCAGAUGUUUGUCCAUGAAGAGAGAUCAGUCUCCUCAUCGAUCGAUUAACUUCAAAGAUGAUCAGUCUAUUGGUCAUCUGAUUGACUUCAAAGAUGAUCAGUCUAUUGGUCAUCUGAU